GACGAACGCUGGCGGCGUGCCUAAUACAUGCAAGUCGAACGCAGUGGGGACGGGUGAGUAACACGUGGGUAACCUCCCAUCAGAGGGGAUACCACUUGGAAACAGGUGCUAAACCGAUACUGAUGGAUGGACCCGCGGUUCAUUAGCUAGUUGGUGGGGUAACGGCUCACCAAGGCCACGAUGCAUAGCCGGCCUGAGAGGAUGACCGGCCACACUGGGACUGAGACACGGCCCAGACGCCUACGGGAGGCAGCAGUGGGGAAUCUUCGGCAAUGGACGAAAGUCUGACCGAGCAACGCCGCGUGAGUGAAGAAGGUUUUCGGAUCGUAAAACUCUGUUGUUAGAGAAGCGGUAUCUAACCAGAAAGCCACGGCUAACUACGUGCCAGCCGCCGCGGUAAUUC
rnacentral:rRNA from 1 species